AUUGAACGCUGGCGGCAUGCCUUACACAUGCAAGUCGAACGGUAACGGGCCUUCGGGUGCCGACGAGUGGCGAACGGGUGAGUAAUACAUCGGAACGUGCCCGAUCGUGGGGGAUGACGAGGCGAAAGCUUUGCUAAUACCGCAUACGAUCUACGGAUGAAAGCAGGGGACCGCAAGGCCUUGCGCGGACGGAGCGGCCGAUGGCAGAUUAGGUAGUUGGUGGGAUAAAAGCUUACCAAGCCGACGAUCUGUAGCUGGUCUGAGAGGAUGAUCAGCCACACUGGGACUGAGACACGGCCCAGACUCCUACGGGAGGCAGCAGUGGGGAAUUUUGGACAAUGGGCGCAAGCCUGAUCCAGCCAUGCCGCGUGCAGGAUGAAGGCCUUCGGGUUGUAAACUGCUUUUGUACGGAACGAAAAGCCUUCUUUUAAUACAGGAGGGUCAUGACGGUACCGUAAGAAUAAGCACCGGCUAACUACGUG
rnacentral:rRNA from 1 species